rnacentral:tRNA from 1 species
ACCUUCGUGGUGUAACGGUAGCAGAUUCGGUGAGUAUUCGAGAGGCCCAGGUUCGAGUCCCGGCGAAGGCA